GUGCUCACUUCAACAGCACAUAUACUAAAAUUGGAACGAACCAGAGAAUAUUAGCAUGGCCCCUGCGCAAGGAUGACACGAAAAUUUGUGAAACGUUACAUAUUUAA
rnacentral:snRNA from 1 species